rnacentral:rRNA from 1 species
UACGUAGGGGGCUAGCGUUAUCCGGAAUUACUGGGCGUAAAGGGUGCGUAGGUGGUUUCUUAAGUCAGAGGUGAAAGGCUACGGCUCAACCGUAGUAAGCCUUUGAAACUGGGAAACUUGAGUGCAGGAGAGGAGAGUGGAAUUCCUAGUGUAGCGGUGAAAUGCGUAGAUAUUAGGAGGAACACCAGUUGCGAAGGCGGCUCUCUGGACUGUAACUGACACUGAGGCACGAAAGCGUGGGGAGCAGACAGG